UCUCUAUUUGUUCCAUUUCUACGAUUUUCCAGCGAUCCGGAGUCCGGUAGAGACUAGGUACAUGUGGUGACGGUGCAUCUAGGUUACAACAGUACAUGUUGCGAUGGUAGAUAUAGAUUACAGCAGUGGUACAUGUUGUGAUGGUACAUAUAGAAUACAGCAGUGGUACAUGUAACAGUACAUCUAGGUUACAGCAUGUGGUGACUUUGCAACAUGUGUUGAUGCCAAGUUACAGCAGUGGUACACGUGACAAUGGUACGGCUAGGUUACAACAUUGGUAUAUGUGGUGACGAGGUUACAGCAGCGGUACAUGUGGUGACAGUACAUCUAGAUUACAGCAGUGGUACAUGUGGUGGUACAUGUUGGUUACAGCAGUGGUACAUGUGGUGGUACAUGUUGGUUACAGCAGUGGUACAUGUGGUGGUACAUGUUGGUUACAGCAGUGGUACAUGUGGUGGUACAUGUUGGUUACAGCAGUGGUACAUAUGGUGGUACAUGUUGGUUACAGCAGUGGUACAUGUGGUGGUACAUGUUGGUUACAGCAGUGGUACAUGUGGUGGUACAUGUUGGUUACAGCAGUGGUACAUGUGGUGGUACAUGUUGGUUACAGCAGUGGUACAUGUGGUGGUACAUGUUGGUUACAGCAGUGGUACAUGUGGUGGUACAUGUUGGUUACAGCUGUGGUACAUGUGGUGG